CCAAACUUGGUCAUUUAGAGGAAGUAAAAGUCGUAACAAGGUCUCCGUUGGUGAACCAGCGGAGGGAUCAUUACAAAUUUCUGUGCGCGCUCGGGGAAACCCCUGCGACCGGAAAAACCCAGUGAAUUUACCUCUGUUGCCUCGGUGGGCGAAAGCCUGCCGAUGGAUAUUUUCAUACUCUUUUAUUAAGAAUCAUCUGAUUUAAUUUAAAACCUAUAAAACUUUCAACAACGGAUCUCUUGGCUCCAGCAUCGAUGAAGAACGCAGC
rnacentral:misc_RNA from 1 species